CAGUCGCCACGGGAAUACGUAGGUGGCAAGCGUUGUCCGGGAUUAUUGGGCGUAAAGGGCUCGCGGGCGGUUUCUUAAGUCUGAUGUGAAAGCCCCCGGCUCAACCGGGGAGGGUCAUUGGAAACUGGGAAACUUGAGUGCAGAAGAGGAGAGUGGAAUUCCACGUGUAGCGGUGAAAUGCGUAGAGAUGUGGAGGAACACCAGUGGCGAAGGCGACUCUCUGGUCUGUAACUGACGCUGAGGGGCGAAAGCGUGGGGAGCGAACAGGAUUAGAUACCCGAGUAGUCCCUGUCUCUUAUAC
rnacentral:rRNA from 1 species